rnacentral:rRNA from 1 species
UGGGGAAUUUUGGACAAUGGGCGCAAGCCUGAUCCAGCCAUGCCGCGUGUCUGAAGAAGGCCUUCGGGUUGUAAAGGACUUUUGUCAGGGAAGAAAAGGGCGGGGUUAAUACCCCUGUCUGAUGACGGUACCUGAAGAAUAAGCACCGGCUAACUACGUGCCAGCAGCCGCGGUAAUACGUAGGGUGCGAGCGUUAAUCGGAAUUACUGGGCGUAAAGCGGGCGCAGGAGGUUACUUAAGCAGGAUGUGAAAUCCCCGGGCUCAACCUGGGAACUGCGUUCUGAACUGGGUGACUAGAGUGUGUCAGAGGGAGGUAGAAUUCCACGUGUAGCAGUGAAAUGCGUAGAGAUGUGGAGGAAUACCGAUGGCGAAGGCAGCCUCCUGGGAUAACACUGACGUUCAUGCCCGAAAGCGUGGGUAGCAAACA